rnacentral:lncRNA from 1 species
AUUAUGGCGAUAUUGGAUCCACUAAAUCAAUAGAUUCAAUUAAUUCUCUAUCACUAAUUCCAUCUAUGUAAGGUUUCAAUCACUGACCGUUCACUUUAAAGGUGUUCCCCUGUUUAGGAUUUUUGAGUUCUAUAGCUCCAUGAGGAAAUACCUGAGUUACAAUGAAAGGUCCGUCCCAACGUGAGCGAAGUUUUUCAAGAAACAGACGCAACCUAGAAUUGAAGAGCCAAACUUUUUGAUUGGGCUCGAACAUUUUUCGUGCAAUGAAUUUAUCGUGGUA